rnacentral:tRNA from 1 species
UGACUUGUAGCUCAGCUGGUAGAGCGCUGUACAAAAGCGUAGGCGGCGUCCAUGCGUGGGUUUGAAUCCCACCGAGGUUA